CCCUCUGCCUCCUGAACAACCCUGAUGCUUCCCUGUGUGGUCCCUUGUGGCAUAGAGUGCCCCCUCUUCUCAGGAACUAUGGUGAUGGCCAGGGUGCACAAGACCCCGGUGAAGGAUGGGAAAAAGAGCAAGAAGAUGAAGAAAGUCAUCAUCUGUGAGGCCCGCCAGGCUUUGCUCGGAGGCUGGAAAUUCAUCAUCAGGCUGAUCUGAAGAGAGAGAGGCAGCCACCUCCCAUCUGCAGCCGGAGCAGCGGCAGAGGGACCCCAGCCAGGCCUGGCUUCCUGACACCUUUGCAGAGCCCCCUUCCCCAGCUUUAAGCGCCACCAGGUCACAGGUGACUGAACAAAGCUGAUUGAUGGCAAUGUCGGACUGACUCACAUUUUUGGAGUAGAACAUGAUGAAAAGCAUAAUCAUUUGGAUAAAGGGCAGCAGGGGGCAGAAGAAGAUGCCAAUCCUGUGAGGGAGAGAGGAUGAGAAAACUGAGGCUCAAAGAGAUUAAGUGACUCGGAAGAUGACACAGCACAGCUGGCCUUCAAAUCAGGUCCUCCUGACUCUAGAACCUGAGCUUUUUUGUUGAGACCCAUUUUGCCUUAUGUUGCUUUCCAGAUUAGUUUUCAUUCUCUUCCCACAAGGGAUUAAUACCAAAUACGGAGUGUGAUGGCUCUUGAGAAACCCCUGUCCUCCCUGUUGGUCAAAUGCUAAGAAACCAAACUUAAGGCAGAGAAGCAUAGAAUCUCACCUCUUCACCAGACAGGGCCACGGUGUUGAGCCAAUAGUAACAAAGAAUGCCAAUGAUUGAUAUUUUCAAAAAGAUGUUUCUAAACAGAAGAGACAACAUUUAUGAUUACCUUCAAUGGCAGUCUUUCAUUCUGUCUGCAAAUAGCUCCUUUGGGGCACAUGGUAAGAUAGAAAUUCCUGGCCCCUGUGGUUGGAGGGGGGC